AGAGUUUGAUUCUGGCUCAGAACGAACGCUGGCGGCGUGGAUAAGACAUGCAAGUCGAGCGCUGGUUGCAAGGUAGCAAUAUUUUGCAAUUGGAGCGGCGAAAGGGUGCGUUACACGUGGGCAAUCUGCCGUGAAGUCUGGAAUAACUCGCUGAAAGGCGAGCUAAUGCCGGAUGUGAUCACCGGGAGGCAUCUCCUGGGGUUCAAAGUUGGGGACCGAAAGGCCUGACGCUUCAUGAUGAGCCCGCGGCCUAUCAGCUAGUUGGUGAGGUUACGGCUCACCAAGGCUAUGACGGGUAGCUGGUCUGAGAGGACGACCAGCCACACUGGAACUGAGACACGGUCCAGACACCUACGGGUGGCAGCAGUCGAGAAUUUUUCACAAUGGGCGAAAGCCUGAUGGAGCGACGCCGCGUGGGGGAUGAAUGGCUUCGGCCCGUAAACCCCUGUCAUUCGCGAUCAAACCUUACUAUUUAAAAGAUGGUAAGCUGAUAGUAGCGGAAGAGGAAGGGACGGCUAACUCUGUGCCAGCAGCCGCGGUAAUACAGAGGUCCCAAGCGUUGUUCGGAUUCACUGGGCGUAAAGGGUGCGUAGGUGGUGAGGUAAGUCGGAUGUGAAAGCUCGGAGCUCAACUCCGAAAUGGCAUUGGAAACUACCUUGCUUGAGGAUUGGAGGGGGGACUGGAAUACUUGGUGUAGCAGUGAAAUGCGUAGAUAUCAAGUGGAACACCAGUGGCGAAGGCGAGUCCCUGGACAAUUCCUGACACUGAGGCACGAAAGCUAGGGGAGCAAACAGGAUUAGAUACCCUGGUAGUCCUAGCCGUAAACGGUGCACGUUUGCUGUAAAAGGAAUCGACCCCUUUUGUGGCGUAGCUAACGCGUUAAACGUGCCGCCUGGGAAGUACGGUCGCAAGAUUAAAACUCAAAGAAAUUGACGGGGGCCUGCACAAGCGGUGGAGUAUGUGGCUCAAUUCGAUGCAACGCGAAGAACCUUACCUGGCCUUGACAUGCACGUAGUAGAAGGGUGAAAGCCUAACGAGGUAGCAAUACCAGCGUGCACAGGUGCUGCAUGG
rnacentral:rRNA from 1 species